UUGCAUUGCUGACAAAUGCACCCUAAACUCCUUCUCCUUUCUACCUCUCCUCUUAGUGAGGCUGACUUUGUCUACGUUCCUCACUGUUUUGCCAUCUAUCUUUUCAGAAAUUUCCACCACAUCAGACCGCUCUUCCCUUAUUUCUGUCUUUCUAUUCUUGCACCCCCCAAAAGCAGCCGCUCCCAAACCUUUGGCCUCCUCCUGUAAAAGCCAUCGGGCCAGACUCGGCUGCAUUUGAAGAUAUUUCAAAGUGAGACAUCAUACGCCCACCAGAAACAACUGAAGGUGUGACCUCAAUAUAUGGGCCUAACUACAUUAACAUUGCAUGAAUGCAGUAUUAUCGCUAUCCUGUAGGAGGCAGUGUGCUAUGAACAGCUUGUGGACAAAUCUGGUGCUUGCUGGCUGUAACAGCAACUCCAUGUGGAAGUGGUCUGUGUUCCAGUGGAGAUGCUGUUACCUGCAGAGAGUCACCCCCCAGCCAGCUCUGACAUUGGAUCAAUGUUGAGCAUAUCACAGUCCUUGUUUAUUAUGGCUGUUAUGAUGUUUCUCCUCUUUCAGUUGAACUCAGUUAUAUCUGCUUACACCACAUUGUCAUAUUUUUUUUAAAUGAGAAAUGUUGUAUUAUUAAGAACAGUCUCUAGAUCAACUAAACAGAUAUGAGCUCCUUGUUUUCCAUUGACAACAUCAUGUGAAGAUAUUCAUGCACUCAAAACGUUGGUUUGAAUGCAGAGUAGGGCUAAAAGAAGAAUGGGACGCAUGGGGAUGACCUAUGAAUUGACAGCCAGUGUUUGCAACAUGACUGCCUGUCAGUUCUGUAGGCCACUGCUGUGUCUGUCCUACUGAGCACACACAGGGGUUUAGAUGGAGCAAAGGAACUCAUUGAUAUGUUUAAUAAAUCAUCAGAAACCUAUGAUGCAUUUAUGAAACCACUGAUAAUAUCCUGUAUAGUUCACAUUUGAAAGUUAUUUGAAGACAAUACAAUUGUUUUGUUGCCAACCUUGGAAAUAAAGAUUGAAAACACCA